UGCUCCUAGUACGAGAGGACCGGAGUGGACGCAUCACUGGUGUUCGGGUUGUCAUGCCAAUGGCACUGCCCGGUAGCUAAAUGCGGAAGAGAUAAGUGCUGAAAGCAUCUAAGCACGAAACUUGCCCCGAGAUGAGUUCUCCCUGACCCUUUAAGGGUCCUGAAGGAACGUUGAAGACGACGACGUUGAUAGGCCGAGUGUGUAAGCGCAGCGAUGCGUUGAGCUAACCGGUACUAAUGAACCGUGAGGCUUAACCUUACAACGCCGAAGCUGUU
rnacentral:rRNA from 1 species